UAUGCUAAUCCCUAAUAAUAUGUUAAGCUGGGGGUGUAAUAUUCAUGUCUUUUCAGGGAAAUGGGUGGAGAUUCCCAGAAUCAUGUAUCCUCCCAUUUUCUGUCCUUGUAUGGCUGGCUCCGGAACUGUGAUGGCGCUAGGGGAGAGAACUUGGAAGUCAUCAUUCCCAUCCUCACAACAAGAAAAAAGCUGAGAAAACUGGAAAGCAACAACUCUUCUUAGAUUCCUCAGAUAACUGAGGUCACGGGGCAAGCUGUUCCUUGGAAAUUGGAGAGAGGUUGAUAGACAGAAUCCCAGCUUACCUGGAGCAGAAGCCACUGCUGCAGACAGCGAAGGGGCAUCCGAGGCGCUGUGUAUAACGUCAGGCUUAUCAAGCCGUCGGGAACAGAAGCCCCUUCUCUGUUUGUGACAGCAGAGGAAGGACUCCCGGGAAUACUCACCCUGGAAGGGCACAGAAGCCAGAGGGGUUUCUUCAGGAAAGAUGUCAACCCAGGGGCCUUGAGCAGAGACAAGCCAACUUCUGAACUUGCCUUGGACCUGGGAUGAGGACGAGGCCCCAGAAGAGAGGGAGAAGCCUUCUUCAAAGCCGGCGUACUGAUGAGCCCUCAAGAAUGGGGUGCUUUCUCUCUGGGGGCUUGUUAGUGGUGCCAUUGGGACUGUG